rnacentral:rRNA from 1 species
UCGCCUGUUUUACAAAAACAUCGCCUCUUGUACCCCUAAACAUAAGAGGUCCCGCCUGCCCUGUGACUAUAAGUUUAACGGCCGCGGUAUUUUGACCGUGCAAAGGUAGCGCAAUCACUUGUCUUUUAAAUGAAGACCUGUAUGAAUGGCAUAACGAGGGCUUAACUGUCUCCUUUUUCCAGUCAAUGAAAUUGAUCUCCCCGUGCAGAAGCGGGGAUACAAACAUAAGACGAGAAGACCCUAUGGAGCUUUAGACACCAGAACAGACCAUGUUAAGCACCCCUGAAAUAAAGGAUAAAACUGAUUGGCCCCUGUUCUAAUGUCUUUGGUUGGGGCGACCGCGGGGAAACAAAAAACCCCCAUGUGGACCGGGAGCACACUACUCCUACAACCCAGAGUUACAACUCCAAGCAACAGAAUUUCUGACCAAUAAGAUCCGGCACAUAGCCGAUCAACGGACCGAGUUACCCUAGGGAUAACAGCGCAAUCCUCUUUUAGAGCCCAUAUCGACAAGAGGGUUUACGACCUCGAUGUUGGAUCAGGACAUCCUAAUGGUGCAGCCGCUAUUAAGGGUUCGUUUGUUCAACGAUUAAAGUCCUACGUGAUCUGAUUCCCAGACCGGA